rnacentral:lncRNA from 1 species
GGACAAAAGCGUGCCUGAUGCUUCCACUUUGAAGGGAGGGAGUCGUCACACUUGACUUUGUAGACAUGCUUCUUGCAGCUUGAUGAAGAGUCCUUACAUCAUUUGGGCGUUCAAUGAAAUUUGGUUUGAACUUGAAAGAUUCUUCUGAUAUUUGCAGGCUCUCGAUAUCAUCACUUUUUCGGGAACUUUCUACCUCCUCUAUUGAAACUGAUUGAAUUCGGUCUAACAUAUUUAGC